UGAGGAAUAUUGGUCAAUGGGCGAGAGCCUGAACCAGCCAAGUAGCGUGCAGGAUGACGGCCCUAUGGGUUGUAAACUGCUUUUAUGCGGGGAUAAAGUGAGGGACGUGUCCUUCAUUGCAGGUACCGCAUGAAUAAGGACCGGCUAAUUCCGUGCCAGCAGCCGCGGUAAUACGGAAGGUCCGGGCGUUAUCCGGAUUUAUUGGGUUUAAAGGGAGCGUAGGCCGUGGAUUAAGCGUGUUGUGAAAUGCAGGUGCUCAACGUCUGCACUGCAGCGCGAACUGGUUCACUUGAGUGUGCACAACGCAGGCGGAAUUCGUCGUGUAGCGGUGAAAUGCUUAGAUAUGACGAAGAACUCCGAUUGCGAAGGCAGCUUGCGGGAGCACAACUGACGCUGAAGCUCGAAAGUGCGGGUAUCGAACAGGAUUAGAUACCCUGGUAGUCCGCACGGUAAACGAUGGAUGCCCGUUGUCAGGCUGUUUCAGUCUGGUGACCAAGCGAAAGCAUUAAGCAUCCCACCUGGGGAGUACGCCGGCNACGGU
rnacentral:rRNA from 1 species